rnacentral:rRNA from 1 species
GAUUAGAGUUUGAUCCUGGCUCAGAUUGAACGCUGGCGGCAUGCUUUACACAUGCAAGUCGAACGGUAACAGGGAGCUUGCUCCGCUGACGAGUGGCGAACGGGUGAGUAAUGCAUCGGAACGUACCCAGUCGUGGGGGAUAACGUAGCGAAAGUUACGCUAAUACCGCAUACGUCCUGAGGGAGAAAGCGGGGGACCGAAAGGCCUCGCGCGAUUGGAGCGGCCGAUGUCGGAUUAGCUAGUUGGUAGGGUAAAGGCCUACCAAGGCGACGAUCCGUAGCGGGUCUGAGAGGAUGAUCCGCCACACUGGGACUGAGACACGGCCCAGACUCCUACGGGAGGCAGCAGUGGGGAAUUUUGGACAAUGGGCGCAAGCCUGAUCCAGCCAUGCCGCGUGAGUGGAGAAGGCCUUCGGGUUGUAAAGCUCUUUCAGGUGGAAAGAAAACGCAUGGGUCAAUACCCUGUGUGGAUGACGGUACCAUCAGAAGAA